rnacentral:lncRNA from 1 species
AGUCUCCAGGCGGCGGUGCUCAGUGGUCGGUUACUGAGGGGCCUUGUGGCAACAAGGUGACAUAGGACAAACAGCACUCAGGUGAGCACCUGGAAAAGGCUGUUGAAGCACACAGGCACUAGAACUACUUUAUGAGCAUAAUUCCUUGGACCAUAAUCGUCACCUGAGGAAGCCGCGUGAGACACCAGUCUUAGGCCCUGAGAUGUCUACAGAACCUCCAAAUACUCUGUUUUAUUUAAAGCAAGACAAAAGGGGUAUUGGAGCUGGACACAGGUGGCAGCCACUCUCUCUCAAAACCCCUUCUCUCUGUGCUGGACCCUAUAGCUCUCUCUCACUCUUCUGAGAAGUGCCAUAAUGGGAAAUGGAGAUCAACAAUGGAUGAGAAACUCCAAUAGCAUAAGAGACCUGAACAAGAACCCUCCUGCACAGACCUCCUUAACGAGGGAUUUUUUGCCACCUAAUGAACAGCAUAAGCAGCUGAACGGUCCACUUUGGUGUAACCCUUUCCUGAAAAGGCCCCUCCUCCAUGAGCUCCCCAACCGCCAUUCCAAAGUGAAGAGGAACGUGCCCUCCUCGAUGAACGCCUGUGGAAGCCUUUGAGCAGCCCUUUCAUGGCGGAAGAGAGGGCAACUCUGAGGUGAUGGAGCAGCGGCUAGGCAGAGGGCUGCUGAGGAAGCAGAGGGAGGAUCGCUUCAGCUCUCGGCAGGCUGGAGCCUCAGAGCAAACCUCAAGUAACUUUCUGUGGAUGCUGUGAGGGAAGGUGCACAGUUAUCUGGUGUUUUGACCUCCUCCUGGCUGAAGAUGAAGGCCCAAAACAGGAUCUUUCCCAGAAGCUGUGUUGCUUUGGCCAGGAAGGUGGCCGGUUGUCUGGAGCCGAAGAUGGCGCCACCUCAGAAGCUCUGUGGCUCUCGCCUGUACCAGAAACGGCUGGCCUCUGUAUUCCACACCGUCACCCGUGCAGGCUACCCUCCGCGGAGUCCCGGAGCCAAGGAGGCUCCCGCCGGGGCCUGAGGCACAAACCUCUAAAAUAAACCUUUAAAAAAAAUAAAAUCAAAGAGAUGGAGUCUCAGGAUCUAAGCUAGUUUUGAUGUCACUAUGGAUUCCAGGUUGGUCUCAAAUUUGUGACCAUUCUGGGUCAGUUUGCUGCCUUCAGGGAUUCCAUCUGCAUGCCAUUGCACCCCAUAUGCAUCCAGAAAUCAGAAGUGUCAUGCUAAUUGUUUCUUCAACGUUUUGAUUGAGAUUGACAUGGAAUUUAUGUUUCAGAUGAAAGAUAAUUGACAUGCUAAGUGUCUUCAAUUCAUUGAUAUCUUUGUUUCAUUUUUGAUUUUCUCUCAAAAUAUAUUGAUUUUAUUU